UACGUAGGGUGCGAGCGUUAAUCGGAAUUACUGGGCGUAAAGCGUGCGUAGACGGCUAUCUAAGUCGGGUGUGAAAGCCCCGGGCUCAACCUGGGAAUUGCAUUCGAGACUGAAUAGCUAGGGUACGGUAGAGGGAAGUGGAAUUUCCGGUGUAGCGGUGAAAUGCGUAGAUAUCGGAAGGAACAUCAGUGGCGAAAGCGACUUCCUGGGCCAGUACCGACGUUCAGGCACGAAAGCGUGGGGAGCAAACAGG
rnacentral:rRNA from 1 species